GCUUCUUCCUCUUUUCGCAGUGACGGUGUUUCGAUAACUCAGUUAGACUUCGAAAUCUACAUUUUCGACAAAGGCCUGGUGUAAUAUUAUUACGUACUUGAUGAAGGUUUAAUGACACGAAUGAGUACAAGUACAUUACAUUUUUCGACGAAGGCCUUCUGUAAUUUCAUACGCUUCUUACGCAACAUUCAAUAGAUUUAUUUACUGUAUUAUCAUUUCGACCAAGGCGAAUUCGACACUUCAAUUACACAAGGUUAGUAACUUUUGUUCACAAAAUCCAAAUGGAGGCAAAUACAGAACAAUCAAACUUAGUCAUUCCAGUCAGUUACUGAAGCACAGUGAAAACUGUCGGGAGCAGUGCAACUGAUGGCAUGUCAAACUUCCAGUGACUGUCCCUGUCCAUAUAUUUCAAGACAGUACAAAUCUUGUAAUCAUUUUGUUUAUGCAAUGUACGUUAUUAUGUAUCAUUUCAGCACAAUCAAACUUAGUCAUUCCAGUCAGUUACUGAAGCACAGCGAAAACUGUCUGAAUUAGUGCUGCUGAUGGCAUGUAAUUACUCUACUACCACUACCAGUGGCAGUCAAUGUCCAAAUAUUUUCAAGUGUGCGAAAUUAGUACUCGUCUACUUCUUAGUGUUAUUUGAAUGCAAUGUAUGUUAUAAAAAUAUUUUUUCAACACUAUAUCAACAUUCUCAUUCCUGUCAGUUUCUGAAAAUCAGCUAAAGCAAUCGCUACCAAUGCAGCUGAUAACAGCAAUUCUUUUUGUUCCCAAUGCCCAUCCAUGACAAUAUAUUUCACGCAUGUGACAAUCAUGUAAUCAUCCUGUUUUUUGUGUUCUAUUCAUGCAAUAAAUAAAUUCAGUAUUUCAAAUCAUUGGUGCUACAAAACUAUUCUCAUUAUAGAUUAUUCAUAUUUUAUAAAAUGCUGUCAUGUCAAAUUUUGUGUCCUAUAAAUCAAAAUGAAGUCGGCAUUUUAUAUACAACUUUUGUACUCCUCCUAAAUAAACAUACAAAUCUUGUUUUAUGUAAACUUUGUAUAUGUGACCCGUCACAGCAAAACCAGGCGCAUGUCGCUCUGAGCUUGGCAGGUUGAGACGGACUGUUCUAAUCUUUCAUUAGCGACACCAUUUCUUACCAGAGUGCCUCCUUCAUUCAUACAUCUUGUACUUUAACUCAAGAUACCCAUCUUUGAAUAUUUUUAGUAUACCAAGUACUACAAUGUCAAUGUAUUGAAGUCAUGUUCUUGUAGUGUUAUUGGCUUUCUAUUAUCUUGUCAAAAUACCACUUGGUUCUCGCAAAAUCUCAAUAAAAACAAAUGCUAUUGCAUGUAUUGCAUAUUCUAACAGCUAUCCACUGUAUCGAUUUAUCCAUCAUCUGUACUAUUUGUCACAAAAAUGUUAUAUUAUGUAAAUCAUAUUUCAUUACAUAAUGCACACUGCCAAUUACUGCUGAACCAUUCAUAUGUCAUUUAAAUAAAUAAUUUU